CUUCUCAAAGGCACCCUCCCCAGGCUAUCCCUCUUCAGAACACCCCUCCUGGUCACCCAAGGACUGAAGAUGUUCCAGAUAGUCAAAGCUCCAUCAGCCUGAGUCCCUGAUUGGCAAACAGCUCAACUCUACUUGCGAUAUCAGUAUUUGUGCUUCUGGUCCCAGUCCCACU